rnacentral:tRNA from 1 species
GGGGGCUUAGCUCAGUUGGGAGAGCGCCUGCUUUGCACGCAGGAGGUCAGGGGUUCGAAUCCCCUAGCCUCCACCA